rnacentral:rRNA from 1 species
UGAGGAAUAUUGGUCAAUGGGCGCUAGCCUGAACCAGCCAAGUAGCGUGAAGGAUGAAGGCUCUAUGGGUCGUAAACUUCUUUUAUAUAAGAAUAAAGUGCAGUAUGUAUACUGUUUUGUAUGUAUUAUAUGAAUAAGGAUCGGCUAACUCCGUGCCAGCAGCCGCGGUAAUACGGAGGAUCCGAGCGUUAUCCGGAUUUAUUGGGUUUAAAGGGAGCGUAGGUGGACUGGUAAGUCAGUUGUGAAAGUUUGCGGCUCAACCGUAAAAUUGCAGUUGACACUGUCAGUCUUGAGUACAGUAGAGGUGGGCGGAAUUCGUGGUGUAGCGGUGAAAUGCUUAGAUAUCACGAAGAACUCCGAUUGCGAAGGCAGCUCACUGGACUGCAACUGACACUGAUGCUCGAAAGUGUGGGUAUCAAACAGG